rnacentral:rRNA from 1 species
AUUGAACGCUGGCGGCAGGCCUAACACAUGCAAGUCGAGCGGAUGAAGGGAGCUUGCUCCUGGAUUCAGCGGCGGACGGGUGAGUAAUGCCUAGGAAUCUGCCUGGUAGUGGGGGAUAACGUCCGGAAACGGGCGCUAAUACCGCAUACGUCCUGAGGGAGAAAGUGGGGGAUCUUCGGUCCUCACGCUAUCAGAUGAGCCUAGGUCGGAUUAGCUAGUUGGUGGGGUAACGGCCUACCAAGGCGACGAUCCGUAACUGGUCUGAGAGGAUGAUCAGUCACACUGGAACUGAGACACGGUCCAGACUCCUACGGGAGGCAGCAGUGGGGAAUAUUGGACAAUGGGCGAAAGCCUGAUCCAGCCAUGCCGCGUGUGUGAAGAAGGUCUUCGGAUUGUAAAGCACUUUAAGUUGGGAGGAAGGGCAGUAAGUUAAUACCUUGCUGUUUUGACGUUACCAACAGAAUAAGCACCGGCUAACUUCGUG